CGAGAAGUGGUAUGUGCUCAGAACUGUGACGCCUCCAAAGUGAUGGGUUGAGCUGGUCGAGGGUCCCGGUGGAGGUCAAAGUGCUCUCCGUGAGGCCGUACCUGUCAAGGAGGCAGGCCGACGCGGACAGUUCCCGCACCUCCUUCUCGCCGUGGUGGAGCAGCUUCACCACCAGGAUGGACUUGAUCAGGCUGAGCAUGAGCAUGGCCAUGCACACGGCGAAGAACACACCUUGACACAGAGGGAUUCAGGGUUUGAGGGAGUUCAGAGGCAUACGCCUGUAGGACACGUGAGAGUCACCCUGCCUAUGAGCGGCGUGGCGAGCGCGGUGGCGGGCAGGUCGUCUGUCAGGUUGACCCGGAAGACGGUGUAGCCCAGCAGCGUGCUGAUCUUAAAGACCACGCGGGUGCCGCUGCUCACGGGAAGGUAGAAGCCCAUCACGUCCACUAUCAUGAGGAAGAUGCUGGGAAUGAGGAGGCCGACCACGUACAGCAGGGGGCGCCGCCGGAUUAAGACCUGCAACACAAAAGACGGAGCAGGAAGAAGCUAGGACACCUGAGUGGAGCCAGCUGCGGAAGGUGAGGCUGCAGUUCUGCUUGUCGAAGGGGAAGGCGUACAUCUCCAGGCUGCAGGCCAGCACCACCUGCAUGGGUCGGUAGUUCUUCACCCAGCCCGAGGAGUUGACGUAGACGUACGGGAUGGGCGCGGACGUGCCCUCGUCCACGCUGCACAAGCACACGAAGGACAAAUGAAGGUCGGGGUAGGACUAACCGAGUGGUCACGGGGGGGUGUAGACGUACAACUCACUGACGAUGAUGUCGGGUACCCAGAUGGCGUCGGAAGACAGGGAAAUCUCCUUGAUUCCGUCAAAUUCCUCCGGGUCCCAAACCAGGAACUCAUCAGCCCAGAUCUGCGGAAGCAAUAAGCCAAAUCCUUCACGUCAUACAAUAGGGGUGUCCAAAGUGUGGACCGGGGGCCUAUUGCGACCCGCAGCUCGAGUUUUUACGAGGAAAAAAAACCUAUAAAAAUGUAAGAAAAAAAGAGCAAAAAAACAUGAUGUAAUAGAAAAAAAGGUGAAAUGUUUGUACUAAUUAUUAUUAAUGAUAAACAUUGUCUCUUUUAACACAAAGUUAUGUAUUUAAAUGCCGAAUAUAUGAUGUUUAAUUUUUUUUUACAAAAAGUCUGUGCACCUCUGAUCUAAAAUAUUAGAAACUUUCUAAGUGACUAACUAAGUAGUCACCUGAAAAAUAAAAUAAAGAAAAAUAAUAUUAUUAUCUAAUACAUUUAUGAAUUUGAAAAAUUACAACAACUUAAAUAAUAAAUGUUAAAAGUAUAACUGAACAUUGAUCUAUUCAUAAAGCAGAAUUUUGGACACACCGGGUUGUGAAGUUACAUAAUCGUAACAGUAUUCUUAUAAUUGUCAUUAUUAUCAACAUUAUAUUCGUAGAGGAAAAUGUCAACAACAUAUUGUUAAAAAAAAAAAAAAAAACUAUCAAAUGCAAGAACAAAGCAAGAAGAUGUACUGUAAUGCAAUGUGAAAAGGUGGAAUAUUCAUACUAUCCAUCCAUUCAUCCAUUUUCUACUGCUUAUUCCCUUUGGGGUCGCGGGGGGCACUGGUUCCUAUCCCAGCUCCAAUCGGGCGGAAGGCGGGGUACACCCUGGACAAGUCGCUACCUCAUCGCCGAUGUUCAUACUAAUUAUUGAUAAUAAUAUACUUUGUCAUUUGUAACACAAAGCGGACACAAAGUUAUGUAUUUAAAUGCUGAAUAUAUAAAAUAUAUACAAUAUAAAAUAUCAGAACCUCUCAAAAUUAAAAUUAUUUAAAAACGAAAUAGUCAGUUAAUAAAUUAAAUAAACAAAGAAAAUUACAUUAUUACCUAAUUAAUUAUUGAAUUUGAAAAAUUACAACAACGGAAAUAAUAAAGGAUGUUAAGAUGGUAACUGAACAUUCCAAUUUUCAUCAAGCAGAAUUUUUGACAUCCCAUGUUGUGCAGUUACACAAUCAUAAUGUUUUUAUUAUCAUUGUAAAUAUUAUUAUCAUUAUUAUAUUCAUACAGGAAAAAUGUAAAAUGACAGAAAAAAAGAGCAAAAAGAUUAAAUUUUCAUACUAAUUUAUAAUAAUGUACUUUGUUACUUAUAACUCAAAGCAGAUACAAAGUUAUGUCUUUAAAUGCUGAAAAUAUGAGGUUUAUUUUUUUCUUACAAAAAUAACUAAAAUAUUAGAAGCUCUCGAAAAUUUCAAUAAAAUAAAAACAUAUACUAAGUCGUCAGUAAAAAAAAUUAAGUAAACAAACAAAAUGAUAAUAUCGACUAAUGAAGUAAUGAAUUUGAAAAAUUACAACUAAAAUAACAAACAUUGUUAAAGGUAUAGCUGAACCGUAGAGCAGAAUUUUUGACACUCUAGAUUGUGCAGUUACACAAUCGUAAUGGUAUUAUUAUCAUUGUCAAAAAUAUAAGAAAAUGAGCACAAAGGUGUACAGUGACACAAUGUGAAAAUUGGGAUACUACUUAUUAAUAAUAAUACACUUUGUCACCUACAACACGAAGCUGACACAACGUUUUGUCUUUAAACAAAUAUUUUUGUAUUUAGCAUUUUUAAAUAAAUAAAAAAAAAUCUCAAAAAGGCUUCCUUAUACUUGGACUUUUGAGUAUGCGGCCCCUGGUGGGAAAACGUUUGAACAACUCUGUCGUACUGUAUUUACAGUUUUUCAUGCCAUACCUGUCUAUACCAAAUACUUGUGGUCACAGUUUGGGUUUUUCCGUCCUGAAACGAGAAAAACGGCUUUGAGGUUAUUAUUUACAGUACGUUUGGGUUCUUUGUCUGCUUUCACGUGGAUAUUACCACGUCCAGGAUGGACUGUAGAAUGAGGUCAACGUAGACGGUGGUCGCGCUGGUCCAGUUGUGAACGGGGCGGACUCCGCAGUCAUACUUCCUCAGGAGGGUUCUGGUCAGCUGAUUCAAAGCCGAUCUUCGUGGUUUCUCCGGCACACUCUCAGCCAGAUGGCCUUCAAGAGAUAGAUAGCAGCAGUGUUGCAGUAACUCAACGUCUUUGUGGAUCACGCCAGUAGGAUUUAUACAUUAAGCCAGUUUUUUGUACCCAGACCCCUUCCCACCCUGUAUGGGUCAAGUCCAGCUAAAAUUCAAUCGCCCAGCACUGCAGUACAGACUUUUUUAUGAUGUAACAAGUGUUGUUUCUGGGUUUUGGGUGAUGUCCCAUUAGUGACUCCUGCCUUAUCUGGGAGACGACGUCCACAGCUGUGGACAUUUGUGUUUUGCAUGACAGGGCUAUUUUUUCAAAAAUAUGUAACACUGGCGAAAUAGACCAAAAACUAUUUAGGCCGAGAUCGCAGACCUCAGCCAGACCCUACCUCUCUAUAAUAAAGUA